UACGUAGGGUGCAAGCGUUGUCCGGAAUUAUUGGGCGUAAAGAGCUCGUAGGCGGUUUGUCGCGUCUGCUGUGAAAUCUGGGGGCUCAACCCCCAGCCUGCAGUGGGUACGGGCAGACUAGAGUGCGGUAGGGGAGAUUGGAAUUCCUGGUGUAGCGGUGGAAUGCGCAGAUAUCAGGAGGAACACCGAUGGCGAAGGCAGAUCUCUGGGCCGUAACUGACGCUGAGGGGCGAAAGCAUGGGGAGCGAACAGG
rnacentral:rRNA from 1 species